rnacentral:rRNA from 1 species
GGUCUUUAGAUUUUUAUUUAAGAUCAGGCCUGCCCAUUGAUUUGAAAAAUUAAAAGGCUGCGGUAUUUUAACUGUACGAAGGUAGCAUAAUCACUUGUCUUUUAAUUGGAGGCUAGAAUGAAUGGUUUGAUGAGAAAAAAACUUUCUUUUUUUAAUUUAUAUUAAUUUAAUUUUUUAGUUAAAAAGCUUAAAUUUUUUUAUAGGACGAGAAGACCCUAUAGAAGUUGAUUAUAUUAAUAAUUUCUUAUUUUUUGUUAUUAAAAUAUUUUUUUAAAUUGUAUAUUUUUGUUGGGGUGACAUUAAAAUUUAUUUAACUUUUAAUAUUUAUUUCAUUAAUUUAUGUUUUUUUGAUCCAAUAUUUAUUGAUUAAAAGUUUAACUUACCUUAGGGAUAACAGCGUAAUUUUUUCGGAGAGUCCAUAUCGAUGAAUAAAGUUUGCGA